rnacentral:misc_RNA from 1 species
UACGGAGGGUGCAAGCGUUAAUCGGAAUUACUGGGCGUAAAGCGCGCGUAGGCGGCUUGAUAAGCAGGAUGUGAAAGCCCUGGGCUUAACCUAGGAAUGGCAUUCAAAACUGACUGACUAGAGUGUGGUAGAGGGUGGUGGAAUUUCCUGUGUAGCGGUGAAAUGCGUAGAUAUAGGAAGGAACACCAGUGGCGAAGGCGACCACCUGGACCAACACUGACACUGAGGUGCGAAAGCGUGGGGAGCAAACAGG